rnacentral:rRNA from 1 species
UACGGAGGGUGCAAGCGUUAAUCGGAAUUACUGGGCGUAAAGCGUGCGUAGGCGGUUCGUUAAGUCUGUUGUGAAAGCCCCGGGCUCAACCUGGGAAUGGCAAUGGAUACUGGCGAGCUAGAGUGUGUCAGAGGAUGGUGGAAUUCCCGGUGUAGCGGUGAAAUGCGUAGAGAUCGGGAGGAACAUCAGUGGCGAAGGCGGCGAUCUGGGUAGAUACUGACGCUGAGGUGCGAAAGCGUGGGGAGCAAACAGG